rnacentral:sRNA from 1 species
CGGUUUGGAAGUACAGACCUAUUUAUGAAAGCAAGUUUUGAAAAGUUCCCCGUUUAGCGUUAUCCCAUAGAUAUCCAUUCGUAGUGAAUUCCUCCUAAUUAGUUCCAUAAGUAUCAAGAAACAUCAAACCUAUAUGCCGUGUGGCAACAAUUAAAAUUUAAAGGAAUUCAAUAUGUCUAAUACAAUGACUGGUUUAGUAAAAUGGUUUAACGAUGAUAAAGGUUUCGGCUUUAUUACUCCUGCAGAUGGAAGCAAAGAUGUGUUUGUUCACUUUUCUGCAAUCCAAAGUGAUGAUUUCAAAACGCUCCAUGAAGGGCAAAAAGUCAGCUUUUCGGUAGAAAGUGGUGCAAAAGGUCCAGCAGCCGCAAACGUGGUGGCACUUUAAGGGC